rnacentral:tRNA from 1 species
GGUCUUGUAGUUUACUGAGAAUAUUUGCUUUGCAAGCAAGGGGGGAGAUGGUUUGUAGUCUUUUUGGCCA